CCUACGGGAGGCAGCAGUGAGGAAUAUUGGUCAAUGGGCGGAAGCCUGAACCAGCCAAGUAGCGUGCAGGAUGAUGGCCCUACGGGUUGUAAACUGCUUUUAUACGGGAAUAACGCGCCUUACGUGUACGGCUUUGCAUGUACCGUAUGAAUAAGGACCGGCUAAUUCCGUGCCAGCAGCCGCGGUAAUACGGAAGGUCCGGGCGUUAUCCGGAUUUAUUGGGUUUAAAGGGAGCGUAGGCCGCAUGUCAAGCGUGCUGUGAAAUUUCCGGGCUCAACCCGGGCCUUGCAGCGCGUACUGGCGUGCUUGAGUACGGGGAAAGCAGGCGGAAUUCGUCGUGUAGCGGUGAAAUGCUUAGAUAUGACGAAGAACCCCGAUUGCGAAGGCAGCUUGCUGCAGCGGAACUGACGCUGAUGCUCGAAAGUGCGGGUAUCGAACAGGAUUAGAUACCCUUGUAGUC
rnacentral:rRNA from 1 species